GCGCCCGUAGCUCAAUGGAUAGAGUAUUGGCCUCCGAAGCCAAGGGUUGCUGGUUCGAUCCCAGCCGGGCGCA
rnacentral:tRNA from 1 species